rnacentral:snRNA from 1 species
AAACCAAUCAAGUGAUCAAUCAA